rnacentral:tRNA from 1 species
GUCUCCGUAGCUCAGUUGGUAGAGCAGCUGACUCUUAAUCAGCGGGCCACAGGUUCGAGUCCUGUCGGGGACACCA